UUUGCAUUGAAACAAGUUUGAAUAAUACAGAUCACCAAAGCUACUAUUUUCUUUUUAUUAACAUGAAGCAACAUGAGGACUUCUUAUAUAGUUUUAUGAUGCUGGGGAAUUUCCUAACAGAAAAAUUUAUGCCAAAAAAUGGCUUUGUGAGGCAGACCCCAAAUACUUAUGAAGUUCUUCACAACAUCCAUCACCCUCAAAACUGGGCAAAGGACACUCCUCCCCUUGCUGAGGUUCUGCAAUGGAGCUGAAUAUCACUUCUGGUUUGGAAAAGUUUCUUAGUAAGUAAAUUGACUUCCGAUUUGGAUGAGAACCAUGACACUCCUUGAACACAUGUCUAAUUUGGACUGUAGUGCACGCCAUAAUCUGUCCCAGCAGGAAGAUGUAAACACAGCCAUAGAGAGUAGUUGAAGAGAGGAUAUAAAGUAACAGUUUAUUUAUGUUCCAGAUCACGGUAACUUAAAUACUCUU